rnacentral:rRNA from 1 species
GACGAGGGGUCCUAGCGUUGUUCGGAAUCACUGGGCGUAAAGCGUAUGUAGGCGGGCUUUUUAAGUCAGGUGUGAAAUCCCAUGGCUCAACCAUGGAAUUGCAUUUGAAACUGGAAGUCUUGAGUGUGGGAGAGAUUGGUAGAAUACCUGGUGUAGUGGUGAAAUACGUAGAUAUCAGGUGGAAUACCGGUGGCGAAAGGCGGCAUGGCCCAACAUCUCGAACCGCU